rnacentral:lncRNA from 1 species
AAUAACGGAAAUUCCGGUUUUUAACGAACAUGUUCAAUAUCCUCUUUUUCAACCAACUUCCGGUUCAUAGUCAAGUGACAUCCUGUAAAAGUUUAGAGCCAUACAAACAUCCAGCAGUUAAGUUAACAAGAAUCACUUACUAUUUUAUUAAAGAACUUAUAAAUGAAUACAGUCGUAUCCUGCGCUUCUAAUGGUUCUAGAAUAGCUGACGUAAGGCAAAUGGUGGGAUGCUUGCUUUAUACAAAAAGUUAUCAGAAAGAAGCUUAUAUUUACAUUGCACCCGAGUUUCUGAUUGCAUAUCAAUAAAUCCAUAAACCUGUCUCAUCGUACAACAAGCAACAAUUUAACGUAUUUUAUGAAUUUCGAUACUUCAAACCAUCAGGUACGUUCUCUGCACCUCUUUCUCUUUCUUCUUUCUUUUACGAAUUUGUUCUUUUCAACCCGAUAGCAUGAUUUAUUUCCUUUAUCGGCACCAGCAGUAACUGCCGGGCCGAAGGACAACAACCGUGCGGAGACGAUGAAAGCGCAAACAGUCUCUCCCUCCUCUUUGAUAGACUGAUUGUGAGACCGAACGAUGGUGAUGGAAAGUGGCGCAGGUUAGGCGCCAUCUGCAAUGCCAAUUCUGAUUCUGGUAUCCACGCAGUUCUCGCACAUCUUUGCUUCCUUUUCUCCUGCAGCCCUCAAAUGAACUACAUUGCGUACAUAAUUUAUGUACUUUUUCAAGCAUAAAGCAAUACUUCAUGAUCAAUAGAAUCGUGAUUAAGAUCAUGACGAGUCACUUAUUCAGAGGAGAAAUUGACUUACAAGCUACUCGUAUAAUAUAAAAGAUACCGGUUUUUAAUCGUGCUAUUUAUACUUAUUUUAUAUUAUCACAGGAGAUUAAUAAUUACUUUUAGAUAGCGGGUCAAGUAUCUCCUCUUACGAGUGAAGAGUCUCCCUAAAUGUACAAAUGCAAAGUAUGAUAUGAAAAAUAUGCGAGCCAUGUUGUAUACGAUGUAUAAAUACCGAACGUUAGUGUACAUAUCUAGUAACAUUCGAAGCAUAAAUAUUUCAUUUACAAAAUUAUGAAAAAAUUAAUUUAAUAAGUAGAAAAAAUUACGUAGUCAUGAUAUUACGUAAGAUAUAUAGAAAUAGAAAUAAAUGACCCAGAAAGAAAGCAUUUACAGAUUAUGCAACAUUUACCGUUUAUUGUGACGUCAAUAUUGUAACAAUUUAAGGACUGCCUAGACGUGUAUAAAUAGCCCAAGAAAAAAGGAAAUAAGAAAGUACUGUCCGACAAAAAAAAUAUGCUUAUGUAGUUUUUUUGGAAGAUACCGCGUCGACCUACUUUUUUACAUAAGUAUUCGAUAUAAAUGAGAUAAAACAUUGGAAUAUGCAGACAUAAUUAAAAUGGUUUUUGUAGACUACAAAAACGA